rnacentral:rRNA from 1 species
UACGAAGGGGGCGAGCGCUGUUCGGAUUUACUGGGCGUAAAGGGCGCGCAGGCGGUCUUGAAAGUCAGGCGUGAAAGCCCCGGGCUUAACCUGGGAAUUGCGCUUGAUACUCUGAGACUGGAGUACGGGAGAGGAGAGUGGAAUUCCCAGUGUAGAGGUGAAAUUCGUAGAUAUUGGGAAGAACACCAGUGGCGAAGGCGGCUCUCUGGACCGUAACUGACGCUGAGGCGCGAAAGCGUGGGGAGCAAACAGG